rnacentral:rRNA from 1 species
UACGAAGGGGGCUAGCGUUGCUCGGAAUCACUGGGCGUAAAGCGCACGUAGGCGGCUUCUUAAGUCGGUGGUGAAAUCCUGGAGCUCAACUCCAGAACUGCCUUCGAUACUGGGAAGCUCGAGUCCGGGAGAGGUGAGUGGAACUGCGAGUGUAGAGGUGAAAUUUCGUAGAUAUUCGCAAGAACACCAGUGGCGAAGGCGGCUCACUGGCCCGGUACUGACGCUGAGGGUGCGAAAAGCGUGGGGAGCAA